rnacentral:lncRNA from 1 species
GGACAGUGGAAGCAGUCAGACAUUAUUACCCCACAUGCACAUACGAUCACAUGACUGGUGUAUUUCCACAUCCUGUAUGGCAAGGAGGAUGUGAAGUUAUACUCCAUUUAUAUAUGAUGUGUCAAUGCGUUUCACUGUCAACUGUAACUCACUGUAACCAAUGCAAAAAAAUAAAAAAUAAAAAAAGAAUCCAAGAAUUACAAACCUAUAGAAAUUAAAACACUGUGGUGCUAAAAAGUACACAAUCUACAGACCAAUGCCAGGGUGAUCCCCCAAGAGCUUGCUGCACACUCAGCUUUGACCAGUGAGCCCAUAAUAGAUAAAGGACAGUCUCUUUGACAAAUGGUGCUGAGGACACUUGAUAUCCACAUGCAGAGGAGAGAAAUCAGAGACUUAUCUCCCACCAUACCAUACCAAAGAUCAACUCAAAAGGGAAAAAAGUGAAUGAUGAGACUUGAAUCUGUAACCUUCCUAGAGGAAGAUCCUGGGGCCCCAUGUACCCACCCCUCCCCAUCCUUCUAAAGUGAUGCGUAUCAUCUCGAUUCUAGUUGGAUCCCUACAGAGUGUGACGUGGAUCUGAAUAUCAUGCUGUACUGAUUAGCAGGCAAAGUUAUUAUGUUUCUAUCUAAAAUCAAAGAAGAAUAACUUGGUGAGUAAAAUAUAAAAAGAAAACACAAACGUCUGACAGCAUUGCUUUAGGAAAUGGUCCCUUAGCUGUGACACUAUGACACGGGACAGAAUCAUAAAUAGGCAAGUGAAACGUCAUCAAACCAAGAGCUUCUGCACAGCAAGGAAAGCAAGAACAGAGAAAAGGAUCCAGCUGACAAUGAGAGAAGUUACCUGCAUAUCCCCUAAGAGCACAGUGUCUCAAUACAGAGGUCAUCCCUGGAACUCUAGCAAGACACGGGUAAAAACACCUAGAGUCCCAGUGGUUCAGGAGGCUACUUGGGGAGGAUCACAAGGUGGAGGCCAGCCUCAGCAAGUGAGCAAGGCCCUAAGCAACUCAGUGAGGCCCUGUCUCUAAAUAAAAAUAUAAAUAAAAUGAUCUGGGAUGUGGCUCAGUGGUUAAGUGCCCUGGGUUCAAUCCCUAGUGGAAAAGGUCAGAAAAAACUUAAAAUUCUAUAUUUGUUAAAUUCAUCAUUUUGAUCCAAUAUGCCUAUGUUAAUAUGGUUUUCUGAUUACACUCUGCUUUAUUCUAAGGCCAACUUACAAGGGUUAACUCUCGAUCUAAUAGGUUUUAAAAAAUAAGCUACAAGGCUUUUGUUUGUUUGCUUUGUGUGGGUUCACUGGUAUAUGUAUUUGAUACAAAAAAAAUUGAUCUAUGAGCUCAUAAAUUAAAAGUUUUAAAAAAUGGAUCCAAAUACCUUUGGUUAAUAUGAUUUUAAAAGUUCAAUUUAAAUUGGAAAAAUAAAUAAAAGUACAAAUGUCUUUAAAGUUACUAAUGUACAGUUUUGUUUCUAGAUGGUUAAACAGCUGUUAAAAUGUUAAUGUCUAUAAAGUGACAUCCAUGGUCUCUAGGAUUUUUCUUUAACAGGAAAAGGUUACUAAUACUAUUCAAUGCACUUGUCUGAUACUUCGUUUUAAAAAAAAGAUACGUAAAUUACACUUAAAUGUAUAUGAAAUUAAUCAUGAAUGUGUUUGUUAGAGACAUCUAAUUGGUUUACAAAGUUAAAAUGCUAACUGUUAAAUGUAAUAUCAAGAACUCUUAACUCCUUAAGUUCCAUAAGGUACACACACACACACACACACACACACAAACUUGGUGUUUUCAUAAAUUGUGUAACUAAAAAAAAAUAAAAUUAUUUUGUAUUAUCAUAAAAACAAGGUUACUAUAAAUUAAAAGUCCCAACAGGUAUAAUUCUACAUACAAGGAGUCAAGAGGUUUCAACUGCAGUUCAAUUAAAGUACUGUAAAUAACAAAAAUUAAUCCAUUUUAAUAAGGUAAAAUAUUUAUCUAAAUUUAGAAAUUUAUAAGGGUUAUUUUAAGGUACAAACAAAAAGAAGGAUCAGUGGAUUUAAAAUGAUCAAAAAGUCCUAAAUAUAAGAAUAUAUUUAGUAAAAAAACAUUUCCAGGUUAAAAAAAAUCUAUGUGGUAAAGUAUAAUUAGAAUACGUCCAAGUAAACCACAAGGGUCUAAUAAUAUAAAGAUCUACGAAUAAGAGAUAAAUAUUAAAAGGUUUAUAUGUAACUAAGCUGGUUAUAUAUGUAACACAAAUAGGGAACAACCUUGAAUAAUUUUAACUAAGGACAAAUAUUAAUGUUCUGAUAUAUUUAUAUCUUCAAAUGACAAAAACUCCUAAAAAUAUAAGUUACAUUGUGUGUUAAGUUUUAUCCCCUAGAGCAAGUAAUCUUGGAAAAAUUAAGGUUUGUACAUCUGUGGUUAGACAGCAACUGUUACUUUAAAGUAUUGUCCUACGUUACAGAGUCUAGAUUUGUUUAAAAGCUAACCUUGGUCAGUAUAAAAACAUCAAUAAAAGUGUGGCACGUUACUCUUCUCUACAGAUUAAAUGUGCUCAUAUCUUUCAGGUAUAAAAGUCUUUAAGGUAAAAGGCUUUGAUAGGCCUUGCUAUGAGGACAAUUUCCCUCCACCUCCUGGUAAGCAAUUAUUGAUUUCUGUCAUUUUCAUGAUAUUCAUGGACAGAUUCCAGAUGCUACAACUGCUAUUUUGUGGUAAUCUUUUUUCACUACUCAUGUCUUUUUGUCUCUCUCAUAGAGGUGCCCACCCCACGUGAAUUUACAUCCUGGUCUUCCUGAAUUAGAUUUUUACCAUGGACUCCUUGACCCACUCAGUUUCUAAAAAAGGACUCCAAACUGCUUGCCCACUGCACAUUGCUCCCCUCUCAGAUCAAAGCAAGAACAGUCAUCGCCCUUUUCCUAACCAGUAGGAGGUCCCUAAAAUUAGGGGGAAAAUCACGAUCAGUAUAGGUGUUCACCACUAUGUCUGGUUCAGGAAGAUGGACCUGGAAAACUACUCCCAAGACCACCCUGGGUGACCUCCCAGAAAGAGACACUUGCUCCCACAACCCAACUUGUAAGUGGGACAACUCCCCAUUCACCAAAAAUUGUACUUCCCGGGUCCCACUUCGAACUCCUUGCCCAAGUCUCCAAACUGUCAAUAACUCUGAACUAUGGAACCUACUAUUUUGAUGGAGUUUAAAAAGGAAAGGAACACCUGGACUUAUUACAAGGCCAGGGCCCACUGAUUUAUCAACCCAGAUGGGUUGCCCCCAUUGGAGUUCCCCUCCUGGCUGGUUUGGGAAUAGCUGGAUCUGCUGCUUUAGGAAGGCAGCUCUGACCACAGGCUCUAAAAAUGUUAAGUCCCUCAGCCUCAGAUAGAUAGAGAUUUAGGAGAACUAGAAAGGUCAGUCUCCAAACUAGAGGUGUCCCUAGACGCUCUGACAGAAAUAGUCUUACAAAACAGAUGAGGUCUAGAGCGUCUCUUUCUAAAACAAGGAGGACCUAAAACAAUUACCAUUUCUAAAACAAUGUAUGGCCCUAGGAGAAACUUGUUGUUUCUAUGCAAACCAUUCUGGGAUAAUCAAGGACAGUUUGGUGCUAAUGAGAAACAGGUUAAAGGAAAGAAAGGAAGCACAAGACACUUCAGGCAAUUGGUUCCAAAACCUAUUCUCAUGGUCCCCUUGGUUGAGUAUCAUCAUUUCAGCCAUAGUUGGGCCCCUUCUCCUGAUUGGGAUUCCUGUAGGAUGCUGCCUCUUAAAAACCCUCCUAAACCAUAUACACAAGAAUGUAGGUGAGGUCCAACUUAUGGGCUUGUGAGCCCAGUAUGGUCCCUUAGUCACAGAAGGAUGGGAAAGAAACUGAGGCCUAAUGAUGUGCGAGAUUGACAUCAAACCUACUAAAACCAUGUGCUAGUAAAAGCAAAUGUGACUCCAUUUUGUUUUGUGACUCCAUUCUGUAGAACAACCAGGUCAAGUACAAGGGUCAUGACUGGGGCAAGAUGUUCUUUUCCUUUUGCUAUGGAAACCUUUAAGAACAUGGAACUACCUAAUGGGGCAUUGUUUCUGUAACUGGGGUGACUGGGCUGUGAUUGGUUAGGCUUCCGCCACCUGACUGCACUCUCCUGCUUCUGUGACCUGGCUUGCUUGCAUUGGCUAGACCCCCCUGAACAUCCCUUUUGUGGUUUUAGACUUAUAAGAAGCGCCCUUGAAAUUGUCCGGGGCUGAUCAGGGACGCAGCUUUAUAUUCUGGCCAGCUGCCGCCGGUGUGCUUCAAUAAAGGCUUGACUCAAUUAUAUGUGAG